GAGUUUUCAGUAAAAUAAAUAUAGAAGUGCGCGGGCAAGUCACUUCGACAUUUGCUGGCACGUAAAAGAC
rnacentral:pre_miRNA from 14 species